GUGCUUGCUUUGACAGCACAUAUAUUAAAAUCGGAACAAUACAGAAAAGAAUGGCACGGCCCCUGUAUAAGGAUCACACUCAGAUUUGUGACAUGGGCUUCUGGAAU